CAACCCAGAAGCAGACAGAGAAGCAUGCUCUCCAGUUGAAGGCUGUAGAGGAGUUGGCUGAAGCCUUGAAGGCAGUGCUGAGAGGUCAGGAGAGCCUGGUCGAUGACAAGGUCCAGCUGCUCCACUGUAACUGGGUCGCUGUCACCUCCAGGAGUGAGGAGUGGUUAAAGCUACUGCUGGACUACCAGAGCCAGCUGAGACAUUGGAUGUGAAUAUGAAGGUGAUAAAGGAGUGGAUGGAGGGAGCAGAGAAAGAGAUGGGACGUGAUAGAGAACAGGGGACCCAACGACCCUGUCCUCAAGGGUCUGCGUGGGGACUUGGAGGUGAUGCAUGGUAAGGUGGAGGCGGUGCAGGUGCUACACCAGGGUCUGAUGGGUACUUGUAGGGGAACACUGCCAGGCACAGCUGGGGCCCAAACUGGAAAAACUCAACCAGCGUUUUGACAGCAUCGCACAGCGCAUCACUGCAGGACAGGCAGCAGCAUCAGCGGUGGAGGUGGAGCAGUUCCACAGUGAAGCUAAGAUCUGGCUGGACCUGCUGGA